UAACACAUGCAAGUCGAACGGAGUUUAUACGGAAAGUGUCUUCGGACACCGGAAGUAUAAACUUAGUGGCGGACGGGUGAGUAACGCGUGGGUAACCUGCCUUAUACAAGGGGAUAACAGAGGGAAACUUCUGCUAAUACCGUAUAAAAAUAUUUCACGCAUGUGAGAUAUUUGAAAGAUUUAUCAGUAUAAGAUGGACCCGCGUCUGAUUAGGUAGUUGGUGAGGUAGAGGCUCACCAAGCCGACGAUCGGUAGCCGAUCUGAGAGGAUGACCGGCCACAUUGGGACUGAGACACGGCCCAAACUCCUACGGGAGGCAGCAGUGGGGAAUAUUGGACAAUGGGGGCAACCCUGAUCCAGCAACGCCGCGUGAGUGAAGAAGUAUUUCGGUAUGUAAAGCUCUAUCGAUAACCGGAAGAAGAUGACAAGCCGUUAAGGAAGAGCCCC
rnacentral:rRNA from 1 species